rnacentral:rRNA from 1 species
GAUGAACGCUGGCGGCGUGCCUAAUACAUGCAAGUCGAGCGAACAGAUAAGGGGCUUGCUCCUUUGACGUUAGCGGCGGACGGGUGAGUAACACGUGGGUAACCUACCUAUAAGACUGGGAUAACUUCGGGAAACCGGAGCUAAUACCGGAUAACAUUUGGAACCGCAUGGUUCUAAAGUGAAAGAUGGUUUUGCUAUCACUUAUAGAUGGACCCGCGCCGUAUUAGCUAGUUGGUAAGGUAACGGCUUACCAAGGCGACGAUACGUAGCCGACCUGAGAGGGUGAUCGGCCACACUGGAACUGAGACACGGUCCAGACUCCUACGGGAGGCAGCAGUAGGGAAUCUUCCGCAAUGGGCGAAAGCCUGACGGAGCAACGCCGCGUGAGUGAUGAAGGGUUUCGGCUCGUAAAACUCUGUUAUUAGGGAAGAACAAAUGUGUAAGUAACUGUGCACGUCUUGACGGUACCUAAUCAGAAAGCCACGGCUAACUACGUG